GACGAACGCUGGCGGCGUGCUUAACACAUGCAAGUCGAACGGAAAGGCCCUGCUUUUGUGGGGUGCUCGAGUGGCGAACGGGUGAGUAACACGUGAGUAACCUGCCCUUGACUUUGGGAUAACUUCAGGAAACUGGGGCUAAUACCGGAUAGGAGCUCCUGCUGCAUGGUGGGGGUUGGAAAGUUUCGGCGGUUGGGGAUGGACUCGCGGCUUAUCAGCUUGUUGGUGGGGUAGUGGCUUACCAAGGCUUUGACGGGUAGCCGGCCUGAGAGGGUGACCGGCCACAUUGGGACUGAGAUACGGCCCAGACUCCUACGGGAGGCAGCAGUGGGGAAUAUUGCACAGUGGGCGGAAGCCUGAUGCGGAGACGCCGCGUGCGGAAUGACGGCCUUCGGGUUGUAAACCGCUUUCGCCUGUGACGAAGCGUGAGUGACGGUAAUGGGUAAAGAAGCACCGGCUAACUACGUG
rnacentral:rRNA from 1 species